rnacentral:rRNA from 1 species
CCUACGGGGCGCAGCAGUGAGGAAUAUUGGUCAAUUGACGAGAGUCUGAACCAGCCAAGUAGCGUGAAGGAUGACUGCCCUAUGGGUUGUAAACUUCUUUUAUAUGGGAAUAAAAUGUUCCACGUGUGGGAUUUUGUAUGUACCAUAUGAAUAAGGAUCGGCUAACUCCGUGCCAGCAGCCGCGGUAAUACGGAGGAUCCGAGCGUUAUCCGGAUUUAUUGGGUUUAAAGGGAGCGUAGGUGGAUUGUUAAGUCAGUUGUGAAAGUUUGCGGCUCAACCGUAAAAUUGCAGUUGAAACUGGCAGUCUUGAGUACAGUAGAGGUGGGCGGAAUUCGUGGUGUAGCGGUGAAAUGCUUAGAUAUCACGAAGAACUCCGAUUGCGAAGGCAGUUCACUGGACUGCAACUGACACUGAGGCUCGAAAGUGUGGGUAUCAAACAGGAUUAGAUACCCUAGUAGUC